rnacentral:tRNA from 1 species
GGGGCUGUGGGCUAGCUUGGUAGGCUACAGGCCUCGGGCGCCUGUGACCCCGGUUCAAAUCCGGGCAGCCCCA